GACGAACGCUGGCGGCGUGCUUAACACAUGCAAGUCGAACGAUGAAGCGGGUGCUUGCACUCGUGGAUUAGUGGCGAACGGGCGAGUAACACGUGAGUAACCUGUCCUUUUCUUUGGGAUAACGGCUGGAAACGGCUGCUAAUACUGGAUAUUCAGGCUGCAUCGCAUGGUGUGGUUCGGAAAGGUUUUUUCUGGGAUUGGGUGGGCUCGCGGCCUAUCAGCUUGUUGGUGGGGUGAUGGCUUACCAAGGCUUUGACGGGUAGCCGGCCUGAGAGGGUGGUCGGUCGCACUGGGACUGAGAUACGGCCCAGACUCCUACGGGAGGCAGCAGUGGGGAAUAUUGCACAAUGGACGAAAGUGUGAUGCAGCGACGCCGCGUGGAGGGUGUAGGCCUUCGGGUUGUGAACUCCUUUUUCUCGCGAAAAAGGCACAGUUUUGGCUGUGUUGAUGGUAGUGGGGGAAGAAGCGCCGGCUAACUACGUG
rnacentral:rRNA from 1 species